rnacentral:rRNA from 1 species
ACCUCAAAUCAGGUAGGAACACCCGCUGAACUUAAGCAUAUCAAUAAGCGGAGGAAAAGAAAAUAACAAUGAUUCCCCUAGUAACUGCGAGUGAAGAGGGACAAGCUCAAAUUUUAAAUCUAUCGGGUUUUACCCGAUCGAGUUGUAAUUUGAAGAAGCGUUUUCUGCGUUUUUGAUCAGCCCAAGUCCUAUUGAAUGAGGCAUCAUGGAGGGUGAUAAUCCCGUCCGGUUGAUCAUUUGCGUUUUACGAUACGCUCUCUAAGAGUCAAGUUGUUUGGGAUUGCAGCUUAAAAUGGGAGGUAAAUUUCUCCUAAGGCUAAAUAACGGCGAGAGACCGAUAGCGAACAAGUACCGUGAGGGAAAGAUGAAAAGAACUUUGAAAAGAGAGUUAAACAGUACGUGAAAUUGUUGAAAGGGAAACGAUUGAAGCCAGUCGUACCUUCGGGUAAUCAGCCUUUCGGGUGCGAUUCUGUGGAGUGUGAGGAGCUUAACACCUUCAUGCUUUGCAUAUUUGUGCUCUUGGGUGUACUUGCCCGUGUGGUUGGUUAACAUCAAUUUUGAUUAUCAUAAAAUGACUGGAGGAAUGUAGCUUCGAUCUCGUAUUGAAGUGUUAUAGCCUUCGGUAGAUGUGAUGAUCGAGAUUGAGGAUUGCAACGGAUACCCUUCGGGGCUACCUGUCUGGUCUCUGAUCGUUGCUCUGGUGCCGAAAGCGUGCUUACGGUUAUCAAAGUCGAUGGUCAAUAGGUUAGAACGGGUUAAAUUCGUUAAGGAUGUUGACGUAAUGGCUUUAAACGACCCGUCUUGAAACACGGACCAAGGAGUCUAACAUAUAUGCGAGUGUUA